AGUGAACGCUGGCGGUAGGCCUAACACAUGCAAGUCGAACGGCAGCACAGUAAGAGCUUGCUCUUAUGGGUGGCGAGUGGCGGACGGGUGAGGAAUACAUCGGAAUCUACUUUUUCGUGGGGGAUAACGUAGGGAAACUUACGCUAAUACCGCAUACGACCUACGGGUGAAAGCAGGGGAUCUUCGGACCUUGCGCGAUUGAAUGAGCCGAUGUCGGAUUAGCUAGUUGGCGGGGUAAAGGCCCACCAAGGCGACGAUCCGUAGCUGGUCUGAGAGGAUGAUCGGCCACACUGGAACUGAGACACGGUCCAGACUCCUACGGGAGGCAGCAGUGGGGAAUAUUGGACAAUGGGCGCAAGCCUGAUCCAGCCAUACCGCGUGGGUGAAGAAGGCCUUCGGGUUGUAAAGCCCUUUUGUUGGGAAAGAAAAGCAGCAGGUUAAUACCACGCUGUUCUGACGGUACCCAAAGAAUAAGCACCGGCUAACUUCGUG
rnacentral:rRNA from 1 species